GCGCUGGGCAGUAACGGUUCGAUCAUGGCCUCAGGAUGAGCAUGACGGAUGCUGCAUGCAGUGAACGUCAGCACGCGGAACUUCGGUCUGGAUGGCAAGUAGCAACGGUGGUAAUGUGUCAGAUGCCUCUGGUGAGGGAUGGCUGGCGGCGUGUGUAAUGUACACACGCCCUUCGGAAGGCAAGGGACACCGGCUCGCAUAUUAGGCGACGGCGAUAUCGGAUUAGCUAAGUUGGUGAGGUAACGGCUCACCAAGGCGACGAUCCCGUAGCUGGUUUGAAGGACGACCAGCCACACUGGGACUGAGACACGGCCCAGACUCCUACGGGGAGGCAGCAGUGGGAAUUUUGGACAAUGGGGAAACCUGAUCCAGCCAUCCCGCGUGUGCGAUGAAGGCCUUCGGGUUUAUGCAUAAGCACUUUUGGCAGGAAAGAAACGGCACGGGAUAAUACCCCGUGCAGCUGACGGUACCUGCAGAAUAAGCACCGGCUAACUACGUGCCAGCAGCCGCGGUAAUACGUAGGGUGCAAGCGUUAAUCGGAAUUACUGGGCGUAAGCGUGCGCGAGCGGUUCGGAAAGAAAAGAUGUGAAAUCCCAGAGCUUAACUUUGGAACUGCAUUUUUAACUACCGAGCUAGAGUGUGUCCGGAGAGGGAGGUGGAAUUCCGCGUGUAGCAGUGUGCGUAGAUAUGCGGAGGAACACCAUUAGCGAAGGCAGCCUCCUGGGAUAACACUGACGCUCAUGCACGAAGCGUGGGAGCAAACAGGAUUAGAUACCCUGGUAGUCCACGCCCUAAACGAUGUCAACUAACUGUUGGGGCCUUCCGAGCGCAAGCAGCUAGCUAACGCGUGGGAAUUGACCGCCUGGGAGCCGGUGCAAGAUUAACUCAAAGAAUUGACGGGGACCCGCACAAGCGGUGGAUGAUGAAUUGGCUAAUUCGAUGCAACGCGAAAAACCUACACUUGACAUGUCUGGAAUCCCGAAGAGAUUUGGGAGUGCUCGCAAAGAACCGGAACACAGGUGCUGCAUGGCUGUCGUCAGCUCGUAAUCGUGGAUAUUUGGGUUAAGUCCCGCAACGAGCGCAAUAUAAUGUUAGUUGCUGAAAGGGCACUCUAAUGGGACUGCCGGUGACAAACCGGAAGGUGGGGAUGACGUCGGUCCUCACUGACCCUUAUGGUGGGGCUUCACAUCAUACAAUGGUCUGGACAGAGGGUCGCCAACCCGCGAGGGCAAUCCCAGAAGCGAUCGUAGUCGGAUCGCAGUCUGCAACUCGACUGCGUGAAGUCGAGAUCGCUGUCGCGGAUCAGCAUGUCGCGGUGAAUACGUUCGGUCUUGUACACACCGCCGUCCACCAUGGGAGUGGGUUUUACCAGAAGUAGUUAGCCUAACCGUAAGGAGGGCGAUUACCAGUAAGAUUCAUGACUGGGGUAAGUCAUGCUCAGGUA
rnacentral:rRNA from 1 species